rnacentral:rRNA from 1 species
AGGGCUACACACGUCUACAAUGGCCGGCACAAAGGGCAGCAAGCCUGCGAAGGUAAGCUAAUCCCGAAAAACCGGUCUCAGUCCGGAUCGCAGUCUGCAACUCGACUGCGUGAAGUUGGAAUCGCUAGUAAUCGUGGAUCAGCAUGCCACGGUGAAUACGUUCCCGGGCCUU